rnacentral:rRNA from 1 species
UACGUAGGGGGCAAGCGUUGUCCGAAUUUAUUGGGCGUAAAGAGCGUGUAGGCGGCCUGAAAGGUCAGCUGUGAAAACUCGAGGCUCAACCUCGAGACGUCGGUUGAAACCAUCUGGCUAGAGUCCGGAAGAGGAGAGUGGAAUUCCCGGUGUAGCGGUGAAAUGCGCAGAUAUCGGGAAGAACACCCGUGGCGAAGGCGGCUCUCUGGGACGGUACUGACGCUGAGACGCGAAAGCGUGGGGAGCGAACAGG